rnacentral:rRNA from 1 species
GUUAAAAAGCUCGUAGUUGAAUUUCGGGAUCAAUAUAUCGGUCGUGCUUCGGUACGUACUGGUAUCAUUGGUUUCUCCUUUCUGACGAACCAUGAUGUCAUUAAUUUGGUGUUAUGGGGAGUUAGGACUGUUACUUUGAAAAAAUUAGAGUGUUUAAAGCAGGCUUUAGCUUGAAUACAUUAGCAUGGAAUAAUGAAAUAGGACGUUUGAUUCUAUUUUGUUGGUUUCUAGGAUCGACGUAAUGAUUAAUAGUGAUAGUUG